AGAUGUGACAGCUGCAACAUCUGACACCCCACUGAUCAGCAGGACUGAUUCAGCUGAUCGCCUGGCUAGGUAGGUGCCCCCUCUCUUCCUCACCACUCCGUGUGCAUCUCUCCUGAAGAUGCACGGCCAGCUGGAGAGGCCACCCCCCCCAUAGAGGAGGCCCAUUUCCUCAAGUAAGGGUUUAGAAGUAGCUGUGCUCUCCUACUAGAACUUCCUAAUUAUUAGAAGUUACCAAGCGAGAGGGAACAGCAAGAUAGCCUUUGAGGUCCUAAGACAGACUAUAACAGUCAUCAAAAGCACAAAUUA
ensembl:misc_RNA 7SK 7SK RNA